rnacentral:rRNA from 1 species
GACGAACGCUGGCGGCGUGCUUAACACAUGCAAGUCGAGCGGUAAGGCCCUUUCGGGGGUACGACGAGCGGCGAACGGGUAGAGUAACACGUGGGUGACCUGCCCUCAGCUCUGGGAUAAGCCUGGGAAACCGGGUCUAAUACCGGAUAUGACUCCAUGACGCAUGUUGUGGGGUGGAAAGCCUUGUGCGGCUGAGGAUGGGCCCGCGGCCUAUCAGCUUGUUGGUGGGGUGAUGGCCUACCAAGGCGACGACGGGUAGCCGGCCUGAGAGGGCGACCGGCCACACUGGGACUGAGACACGGCCCAGACUCCUACGGGAGGCAGCAGUGGGGAAUCUUGCGCAAUGGGCGAAAGCCUGACGCAGCGACGCCGCGUGAGGGAUGACGGCCUGU